CCCGCAUUCGCCCGGGUCAGGAGCUGCUCUGUGUGAGGAGCGCUGUCUGCGCAGCCGCCUUGCACUUCCCCACUCCUCCUCCCCCCUCCUACUCGUCCUCCACCUCCUUCCUCCCCCACCCAGCCUUACACCGCCCAGCGCCCCGCCGCCCGCGUAACAGGCGUCUGGGAAUCGCCGGCCGAGCCCCACGCUCGCCCGCUUCGGCUGGGAGCCGAAGCCCGAACGGAGCCAAUCACGGACGUCGUUUGUUUGCGGCUCCUCCCGGAAAAAGCCGAUCAGCCUGAGAAACCAAUUAGAAAGUGACGCUGGGAAGCCACGCCCAAAGAGCGGAAAAUGCCGAAGGUAGCCGAACGGAAAGGGUGAAUUCGCCUUGUUCGGUGGCUGGCUGGAGGAGACAUUCGACAAUGGCAACAGUGGCCAAUCAGAGUCGCCGGCCCUUACGAAGAGGCUUGAAGAGUUGAGGACGGUGAAACCCAGAGACGCUGGUGAAACUGCACGGCUGGGCGCCGCCGCCGCUUUGUGAUUGGCUGGAAAACUCCGCUGGGAGCGUACCUCCUUCGGUGAUUGGUGAAGAGAAGGGGGCUUCCGAGGACAGUCUGGCCAGUCAGGACUUCCCCUCCCUCUCCAAGGUGGGGAGAAGAAAGCGAAGGGAGGGCGUCUAUAAAGCGCUGUCUCAUUGGCCUGAAGCUUAGGCGCUGGAGUUGGGGCAAAAGGGAGAGGGAGGGAGCCCGAAACUCGCGGCGGCGGCCAAUCGGCUCUCACUGCCGUCCAAUCGCAAGACCUAGCUGCAGUGUGAUUGGCCUUCGGCCCCGGUCCCAGGAGCGGGGAGAUGCCUGACUCGGGUCGUGGCUGACGACCCGACGGUUCGCCUGCGGCCGCCUCCAACAACGGUGGAAACCGCACACAGGGACCGCGGGCCCUCGGUGCAGCAAAUCGGAAAGUGCUGCGGUCGGCGGCCCUGGGCUCUGAGCGCUCAAGCGAGCAGAGGGGUGGAGGGGCUCUCCCCACCCACAGGAGGCUCUCGGCGGGGCGCAGCCAAUUCUGCGCGCCCAAGGCUCCCCUCUGCCGUGGAUCGCGUGUGCCGAGUGUUGGCCUCUUCCCCGAAAGGGCCAGACGGACCAAGGGGGCCUUCCCAGCCGGCUGCAAGCUCUCAGACGCUAAAAUGGGAACAAAGCUUCCAGAAAGGCAGCGCCUUUGGGCGGCCGCGCCCCGCCCAGCCGCGGGGGCCAUUGAUACAGAGGCUUGCUGCGCUUGGUGUGCGCGGCCCGGCCGGGCCUCUGGAAACGCCCAUGAGAAAUGAGCUCAUGCUGGAUGCGCGCGCUCCUUGGGCGCAACUGCCCAGCGCAAAACGGGCCCCGAAAGCAGGUGAGGGGAAAUGCCGUCAGGCCGGAUAUCCUGAAGCCUCCGAGGAAAUGGGGGGGUCAGAGGAGCCCGUGGUAGCUUUGGAUCUUUUGGAACUAGGGUGAUCUAUAAAAGUGCAGCUUGAGAAGAUUUCAUACAUAAGACCAGCGUCCAUUGUUCUACCAUAGAACCAGUUCCUUUGGUCUGCUUUAGAACAGUGAGGUAUGGCUACGUCAAGAUAACAGAGAAAGUAGAACAGACAGUUGCCAUCCUGAUUGUAAUCCAGUGGUGCCUGUAAUUUCUACCUGCAGAGUCAUCUCUUUCUGUUAAGAUGCUGUCUCCAGAAAGCACAUGUUAAAGGACCUAUAUUUGAUCAGAUUACCUGGCUCUUGCUUUGAAACACUGAUGAAGGACUUGGGACAGAACAAAGUGAGUGGAGGACACUUCAAUCUAAAGUGAUCUUAAAGGAGGAGUAGUAGGAUUUGAAGAUGAAGAAAGAAGAGGGGAGGUAAAUUACUUUCCAUCACUUCAAUUUCAACCCAUCAGAUAAAACCUCUCUUUAGUAAACCUGCAUGUGGGUGGAGCUGUAACAGCAAUUAAGGACAGUGUGACUCUGUUCUUCUGACUUUGGGAAAACCAGUUUGGCUGGAACAAAAAGCUGAUAGAGAAGACUAAUGGAAGAUAAGGUUGAAAAGGUUAAAAAAUGGAGGCAACAGCUGGGUACAGUGGCUCACUCCUGUAAUUCCAGCACUUUAGGAGGCCAAGGUAGGCAGAUCACUUGAGAAAAAGAGUUCGAGACCAGCCUGGGCAACAUAGUGAGACCCUCUCUCUCAAAAAAAAUAGCCAAGUGUGAUGAUGGACACCUGUAACCCCAACUACUUCAGAGACUGAGGCAGGAGGAUCACUUGAGCCUAGGAGGUCAAGGCUGCAGUGAGCUGUGAUUGGGCCACUGCACUCCAGCCUGGGUGACACAGAGAGACCUCUCUAAAAAAUAAAAAAAUAAAAAAAAUGGAAGCACAGAAAACUAUACCUUUUCUAGCUCAACUUUACCACAUUGAUGAAAAAGUAUUGAGCAGCCACAGGUACAUGACAUUCCACUAUGUUCUUGGGAUAAUAUUAAAGAAAAGGCAUGAAGGUAUGCUCUGAGCAGGCAAGAGAAGUCACAUAAAAUGAGAGUAAUUUAUAAUGUGAUUUUUUCCCAUGGUCCUUCUUUUUCUCAUUUAACUGUUUACUCCUUUAUAUGUUAUAGCAAUUGUUGUUUAAUAAUUGCAUUAAAAUAAAUAGAUGCCUUGGACACUGAUACUCUUGGAAUACAGAACAAUGUUCAUAGCAUUUAAUAUAUGGAUACAAGAUUUUUUAAAAGGAAAGAUGUAUAUAUAGGGUCCUACCAGAUUAGAAGUAUGAUUGCAGUUGGAAUUUAAUUAGUGAGCACUUACUAAAUACCUAUUAUG
rnacentral:lncRNA from 1 species